UGUAUUGGGAGUUUUGUAACAUUUUGUCAUACUGAAUUCACUGAUACCUAGGGCUGAGCAUUAGGUUACUGAGGAUCCCCAACUACCAGCUAAAAUCACUGAGAGCUGUGUUGUGGAGGAAGUUUGAAGGCAACAUUGGUUAUCCUUAAGGCUGGUUGUCACCCUCUGGUCAGCUUUACUGGGCAGGAAACAGAAGUGGGUAGCUUCUCUGUUCCAUUGGUUGAUGUAGAUCCAGUUGUUUCUUAUGGAUGCUGUCUUCCAGAUGUCCAUUCAGUAGGUUUUGGUCCCAGAUUGAAAUCCCGAGAAUUCUUCUUUCAAUCUGUGAUUGAGUCCCCAGUGAAGUGAUCAGACAGCAAAGUGGAUUGCAGGACAUCAUUGUGGGAAGCAGGUACAGUAAAAUGCAAUGGGCCGGGCAUAUAACUAGGCUCACUGACAAUCAAUGAACUACAGCUGCUGCCGAAUGGUACCCAUGGGAACUGAAAUGACCACUCGACCAACCUCCAAAGAGAUGGGAAGAUUUUAUCGUGAAAAGACAUGGCCGCACAUGGAGAAGAAUGGCCAGGAUAAGAGAAGAAUGGAAGAUGUGUUGUGAUCGGUGCAAUCUAUAUGAGGGUUGAAGGAAUGAUCGAGCAAGGUGAUCAAGGUGCAGUGGAUCCCACGGGCCGGCACAAUGCCCAGGACCUUCCACUCUCCGGCUGAUUUAGAGCCUUUGAGGAGAAGCACUGGGGAGUCCAGACGACUGUUGGAUUUCGUCGCUGGCAAGGAGGCCCUGUGUGAUGAUGGACACCAGGAAUGCAGGAUGGCAGGAAUGGUGGUGAACGGCCUCCUUUUCCUCAAUCUCACUGCGGGACCGAUGGUGUUCUUCACUCUUCAGCUCUGGAGCACUGUGAAGACCCGACCGUGUACGUACUGUCGCUGGGGUGGACAGCCCUGCAGAGGCACUGAACAAGUCCUUAUAUCACUUUUGUGGCGGGAAAAGUUCUGAGGAGAUGGAACGCUGAGGGCUGGUUUUGGCGGGAAAAAUGGUUUUGACUGGCUUGAGCCUGUGUCUUGAUGGUAAACAAGUCCACUCUCAGAGAUGGAGUCCAAGGGUCAAUAGUUCAUAUGCUCCAUAUUGGAUCUUAUUUUAAAGCCAGUGAUUUACUUCAUAAACACCUUAUUAAACAACUAAUUGAACAUAUUAAA